ACCUGCUCAGCUGGAUAAGCCUUUAAUCAUGGAAAGAAGGCUCCUAAAGAAGGAAAUGAAAAAGCUCCUGGGAGAUUAUAUUGGCAUCAGACUUCGGGAAAAUGAAUUUGACCCAAAAGGAAGAAGGCAACUCACGUUUCUAGAUGAUAUGGCACACUAUGACUUGGCUAUCAACGUCGCUUUGCAAUGGCUGGAUCACUCAGAAGACUUAACUUGGCUGGAGUGGGAGAAAGUGAAAAUGUCAUUUCGGGGUAGACCCAUAUAUCCAAACCACAAAGAACGAGAAGCAAUGAUUUUAUCAUCUUAUGCUGGAAUCUUAAUGAACAGUAUUCCAAUUGAGGAAGUCUUUAAAAUUUAUGGGGCUGGCUCUUCUUCCAGUUCUGGUGCUGCCAAGAAGCAGGAGCCAAAAGCUGGGAUUGCUAUGGGAAAUGAGGUUCCCCGAGCUCCACCCUUCCGCCUCUCCUUGCACCCUUUGGCCAUGUUAACAGCUCCCAAAGCCGCAGAAUAUGCCCGCAAGCAGAGUGUCAAGCUAAGAAGGGCAGCAAUGAGCAAAAAUGCCACCAGCGGUUCUACAAGGAAAGCAAAUGCCAUGGAAUGGAAAUCAUCAAAAAAUUUAUCUUUGGACACACAGUCAAAGAACAAACCAUUGAAGACUGUUGGCUUCUUGAUGGAAGCAGAUCUUUUAUUCCCUUUUUAUUUCCCACAUGGAUGUAAAGUGCUUUCCAGGCAGUAGAUAUUCAGUAGUUAUUGUUGAUUAAUGAAUCAGCAGUGAGUGGUCCUUAGGUCACUUAGAAACUUGGAAUUGCACCAGGGGAGUUCAUAAUAAAGUCUCUGGAAGAAGGGAACCAUCAUCUUAAAACUGCAACUCUUGCCAGCAUAUUUUUCUUUGCAGUUAGCUUUUGAUGCGAAGUGCAUUGAAGUGUUAUUUUGGAUGUUGAGCUUUCUUCAAUUAGAAUCAGGUUGUUUGGCCAUAUUGUGGUUAAUAGCAAGUAUGUAUCUUAUGCUACUUCAUUGUGACUGGAAGAUGGUUGGCUGGAGAAUUUUGAGAAUAUAUACUAUUUCUGUGUUAGAAUAGGCUGACUUUGCAGCACAUUUUACAAAUGUUUAGCACUGAACAUUGCAGAAUAGUGGAGUAGGAGGCAGUUUUCCAAAGUUUCAAUCCAAAAUAAAAUUAACCUUCAUCAAUUGCCUUUACUAUGUACUCACAUGGAAACAUUUAAACUCAUUUCAAUAAAGCCUUAAAAGAAAAAUGAA